UACGAGGGGGGCAAGCGUUGUUCGGAAUUACUGGGCGUAAAGCGUGCGCAGGCGGCUGCUCAAGUCAGGGGUGAAAGCCCAGAGCUCAACUCUGGAAUUGCCUUUGAGACUGAGUGGCUUGAGUACGGGAGAGGUGAGUGGAAUUCCCAGUGUAGAGGUGAAAUUCGUAGAUAUUGGGAAGAACACCGGUGGCGAAGGCGGCUCACUGGCCCGUAACUGACGCUCAUGCACGACAGCGUGGGGAUCAAACAGG
rnacentral:rRNA from 1 species